GGGCGAUUAGCUCAGCUGGUUAGAGUACCUGGUCGACAUCCAGGGGGUCACUGGUUCAAAUCCAGUAUCGCCCAC
rnacentral:tRNA from 1 species